UACGAAGGGGGCUAGCGUUGUUCGGAAUUACUGGGCGUAAAGCGCACGUAGGCGGCUUUGUAAGUUAGAGGUGAAAGCCUGGGGCUCAACUCCAGAAUUGCCUUUAAGACUGCAUCGCUUGAAUCAUGGAGAGGCGAGUGGAAUUCCGAGUGUAGAGGUGAAAUUCGUAGAUAUUCGGAAGAACACCAGUGGCGAAGGCGGCUCGCUGGACAUGUAUUGACGCUGAGGUGCGAAAGCGUGGGGAGCAAACAGG
rnacentral:rRNA from 1 species